UCUUACUUAAUACCCCUUUAAUACUUUGUUUGGUUGAGGUAUUCUUAUUACAGGUCUAAUCCAAUACUGACCUAAUCCUCAAAAUUCACGGAUUUGUAAUCCCACCCUUUUGCUCAGUUUAGCUGCUGUUUCAGAUUACCCUCCCUGUUUUACCCUCCCGAUUGGCUUCCCCUUUUCUUUUGUUUCUUCCUUCUGUUUCAGUUUAGCUACUUCACAACUUAGCCGUUCCUUCUAUUUCUUCUUUCUGUUUCAGUUUAGCUGUUCCUUCUGUUUCUUCCUUCUGUUUCAGUUUAGCUGCUUCACAACCUUUUCUUUUCUUUUUCUUUACAACACAAUUUACAACGGUGGUAAAGAGUGCGUUGCAGGCGAUCCGUGAGAGGGGUCUCCGCAGUUUCUUAAGGGAGCUCAAGGAUGAUGGCUUCACGAAAUGCUUCUUCGAUGGAAACCUUCUUGUGAUAUUGCUUCCUAUUGAAGCGGCUUGUUUGAUUGCUUCCUCCACCCACAGUUGAUCGUAUUCUUUUCACACAAUCACUAGUCACAAAGAAGCCUCUCAGUUCAGACAUCGUUCUUUCCCUUACUACAACCACUUUUAUCGCCAUAUACGCAAGAGAUCGG